UACGGGGGGGGCAAGCGUUGUUCGGAAUUACUGGGCGUAAAGGGCUCGUAGGCGGCCAACUAAGUCAGACGUGAAAUCCCUCGGCUUAACCGGGGAACUGCAUCUGAUACUGGAUGGCUUGAGAUUGGGAGAGGGAUGCGGAAUUCCAGGUGUAGCGGUGAAAUGCGUAGAUAUCUGGAGGAACACCGGUGGCGAAGGCGGCAUCCUGGACCAACACUGACGCUCAUGUACGAAAGCGUGGGGAGCAAACAGG
rnacentral:rRNA from 1 species